GAUGAACGCUAGCGGGAGGCCUAACACAUGCAAGCCGAGCGGUAGAGAUUCUUCGGAAUCUUGAGAGCGGCGUACGGUGCGGAACACGUGUGCAACCUACCUUUAUCUGGAGGAUAGCCUUUCGAAAGGAAGAUUAAUACUCCAUAAUAUAUUGAUUGGCAUCAAUUGAUAUUGAAAGCUCCGGCGGAUAGAGAUGGGCACGCGCAAGAUUAGUUAGUUGGUGAGGUAACGGCUCACCAAGACGAUGAUCUUAGGGGCCUGAGAGGUGAUCCCCCACACUAGUACUGAGACACGGACCAGACUCCUACGGGAGGCAGCAAUGAGGAAUAUUGGUCAAUGGGUGCAAGCCUGAACCAGCCAUCCCGCGUGAAGGACGACUGCCCUAU
rnacentral:rRNA from 1 species